rnacentral:rRNA from 1 species
UACAGAGGGGGCAAGCGUUGUUCGGAAUUACUGGGCGUAAAGGGCGCGUAGGUGGCCUUCUAAGUUGAACGUGAAAUCCCUGGGCUCAACCCAGGAACUGCGUCCAAGACUGGGAGGCUUGAAUCCGGGAGAGGGAUGCAGAAUUCCAGGUGUAGCGGUGAAAUGCGUAGAUAUCGAGAGGAACACCUGCGGCGAAGGCGGGUUGCUGGGCUGACACUGACGCUGAACUGCGAAAGCUAGGGGAGCGAACGGG